GUGAACUCGAAGAGUAGGGCGGGACACGUGGUAUCCUGUCUGAAUAUGGGGGGACCAUCCUCCAAGGCUAAAUACUCCUGACUGACCGAUAGUGAACCAGUACCGUGAGGGAAAGGCGAAAAGAACCCCGGCGAGGGGAGUGAAAAAGAACCUGAAACCGUGUACGUACAAGCAGUGGGAGCACCUUCGGGUGUGACUGCGUACCUUUUGUAUAAUGGGUCAGCGACUUAUAUUCUGUAGCAAGGUUAACCGUAUAGGGGAGCCGCAGGGAAACCGAGUCUUAACUGGGCGUUAAGUUGCAGGGUAUAGACCCGAAACCCGGUGAUCUAGCCAUGGGCAGGUUGAAGGUUGGGUAACACUAACUGGAGGACCGAACCGACUAAUGUUGAAAAAUUAGCGGAUGACUUGUGGCUGGGGGUGAAAGGCCAAUCAAACCGGGAGAUAGCUGGUUCUCCCCGAAAGCUAUUUAGGUAGCGCCUCGUGAACUCAUCUUCGGGGGUAGAGCACUGUUUCGGCUAGGGGGUCAUCCCGACUUACCAACCCGAUGCAAACUACGAAUACCGAAGAAUGUUAUCACGGGAGACACACGGCGGGUGCUAACGUCCGUCGUGAAGAGGGAAACAACCCAGACCGCCAGCUAAGGUCCCAAAGUCAUGGUUAAGUGGGAAACGAUGUGGGAAGGCACAGACAGCCAGGAUGUUGGCUUAGAAGCAGCCAUCAUUUAAAGAAAGCGUAAUAGCUCACUGGUCGAGUCGGCCUGCGCGGAAGAUGUAACGGGGCUAAACCAUGCACCGAAGCUGCGGCAGCGACACUAUGUGUUGUUGGGUAGGGGAGCGUUCUGUAAGCCUGCGAAGGUGGCCUGUGAGGGUUGCUGGAGGUAUCAGAAGUGCGAAUGCUGACAUAAGUAACGAUAAAGCGGGUGAAAAGCCCGCUCGCCGGAAGACCAAGGGUUCCUGUCCAACGUUAAUCGGGGCAGGGUGAGUCGACCCCUAAGGCGAGGCCGAAAGGCGUAGUCGAUGGGAAACAGGUUAAUAUUCCUGUACUUGGUGUUACUGCGAAGGGGGGACGGAGAAGGCUAUGUUAGCCGGGCGACGGUUGUCCCGGUUUAAGCAUGUAGGCUGGUUAUCCAGGCAAAUCCGGAUAAUCAAGGCUGAGGUGUGAUGACGAGGCACUACGGUGCUGAAGUAACAAAUGCCCUGCUUCCAGGAAAAGCCUCUAAGCAUCAGGUAACAUCAAAUCGUACCCCAAACCGACACAGGUGGUCAGGUAGAGAAUACCAAGGCGCUUGAGAGAACUCGGGUGAAGGAACUAGGCAAAAUGGUGCCGUAACUUCGGGAGAAGGCACGCUGGUGUGUAGGUGAAGCCCCUGCGGGUGGAGCUGAGACCAGUCGAAGAUACCAGCUGGCUGCAACUGUUUAUUAAAAACACAGCACUGUGCAAACACGAAAGUGGACGUAUACGGUGUGACGCCUGCCCGGUGCCGGAAGGUUAAUUGAUGGGGUUAUCCGUAAGGAGAAGCUCUUGAUCGAAGCCCCGGUAAACGGCGGCCGUAACUAUAACGGUCCUAAGGUAGCGAAAUUCCUUGUCGGGUAAGUUCCGACCUGCACGAAUGGCGUAAUGAUGGCCAGGCUGUCUCCACCCGAGACUCAGUGAAAUUGAACUCGCUGUGAAGAUGCAGUGUACCCGCGGCAAGACGGAAAGACCCCGUGAACCUUUACUAUAGCUUGACACUGAACAUUGAGCCUUGAUGUGUAGGAUAGGUGGGAGGCUUUGAAGCGUGGACGCCAGUCUGCGUGGAGCCAACCUUGAAAUACCACCCUUUAAUGUUUGAUGUUCUAACGUUGGCCCCUUAUCGGGGUUGCGGACAGUGUCUGGUGGGUAGUUUGACUGGGGCGGUCUCCUCCCAAAGCGUAACGGAGGAGCACGAAGGUUAGCUAAUCCUGGUCGGACAUCAGGAGGUUAGUGCAAUGGCAUAAGCUAGCUUGACUGCGAGCGUGACGGCGCGAGCAGGUGCGAAAGCAGGUCAUAGUGAUCCGGUGGUUCUGAAUGGAAGGGCCAUCGCUCAACGGAUAAAAGGUACUCCGGGGAUAACAGGCUGAUACCGCCCAAGAGUUCAUAUCGACGGCGGUGUUUGGCACCUCGAUGUCGGCUCAUCACAUCCUGGGGCUGAAGUAGGUCCCAAGGGUAUGGCUGUUCGCCAUUUAAAGUGGUACGCGAGCUGGGUUUAGAACGUCGUGAGACAGUUCGGUCCCUAUCUGCCGUGGGCGCUGGAGAAUUGAGGGGGGCUGCUCCUAGUACGAGAGGACCGGAGUGGACGCAUCACUGGUGUUCGGGUUGUCAUGCCAAUGGCACUGCCCGGUAGCUAAAUGCGGAAGAGAUAAGUGCUGAAAGCAUCUAAGCACGAAACUUGCCCCGAGAUGAGUUCUCCCUGAGACUUUAAGUCUCCUGAAGGAACGUUGAAGACGACGACGUUGAUAGGCCGGGUGUGUAAGCGCAGCGAUGCGUUGAGCUAACCGGUACUAAUGAACCGUGAGGCUUAACC
rnacentral:rRNA from 1 species